rfam:Ancylostoma ceylanicum strain HY135 Acey_s0571_scaf, whole genome shotgun sequence.
CCAACGGCCCUCUUUAGGGCCACAAAUCAUCAAAAUCGAAUACCUGU